AUGGCCUUAUCACGUUGAAAUACUGGCUCUUGUACAAUCACUGAAGUUAAGCAAUGUUGAGCCUGGUCAGCACCUAGAUGGGAGACCACUUGGGAAUACAAGGUGCUGUAA